AUGUCAUUCUCUUUCCACUUUUUUCGCUCCCCAGGGAUGGCAGGAAACCUGAGGGGAAUGAAUUCUACGGCAUUUAGAGAGAUGUUUGGCAUAUUCAGACAUGGUUGUUUUAAUCCAAAGUUUAAGAAAGAUGGGGACUGGGAGGGAGACUAUACAAAGAAGACAGGAAGUCAGACUGUCACUGGUGUGGCACGGGUUCGACCCCUGGCCAGGGAAGCUUCACAUGCUGCAGGCGCGGCCACAAGGAAAAAAGGAAGAGAAAGGAGGACGUCGGAACCUCUACUGGACUGUACAGGCAAGGAGACUGGCCUGCCUUGGAGGGUCCGUCCCUGGACCGUCUGGACACAGGCCCGCGUUUGCGAGAUGAAGCCCUCGUGGUUCCCAGACCCGAGUCCACACCCCGCUCUUCCUGUAACCCGUCCAUUAAAUGGAGUUCCGGCCCUUGGACUGUGGAUCCCAAGCUUUUCGCCAUUUUUCCACUGGGGGCACCUCUGUCCAGUGCAGUCCUUACACUGGCUCAACAGCAGUUGCUCGACAUAUAAAUGGGCGUUAGGCCAGCGGUUUUUUGUUGGCAUGUCUGUAUGCACGUCCCUCUGUAUGUAUAUGCGUAUGCAUUUUGGCCCCUCCGUCAGCGUGCAGAAGUUCCCCAGGCCAGAGAUGGAACCUGUGCCACAGUAGUGACGAUGCCAAAUCCUCAACCCACUAAGCCACCAGGAAACUCCCAGGCCAAAGCUUCAAAAGGAUGGGGUGCUGGGGUCAUGUGGGAGCACGUUCCAGAAAAGCCAUAUCGACACGUCAGGCGCGUCCUACAUCCUCAGACUGCAGGAGACUUGGGUCUGCGCAUGUCCUUUCAAGUCUUGGAGGGGACUCUGCUGC
rnacentral:lncRNA from 1 species